GGUUGCAAGCAUUAAUGGACUGGAUCCCAUGAGAACUCAAAAGUUUAGUGUGCUUUUGCAAGAGCAGUUCUAGGAUGGGUGACCUCCUAGUUUACCCUUGCUUUGCUCCUA
rnacentral:rRNA from 1 species